rnacentral:rRNA from 1 species
UACGUAGGGUGCGAGCGUUAAUCGGAAUUACUGGGCGUAAAGCGUGCGCAGGCGGUUGUGCAAGACAGAUGUGAAAUCCCCGGGCUUAACCUGGGAAUUGCAUUUGUGACUGCACGGCUAGAGUGUGUCAGAGGGGGGUAGAAUUCCACGUGUAGCAGUGAAAUGCGUAGAUAUGCGGAGGAACACCGAUGGCGAAGGCAAUCCCCUGGGCCUGCACUGACGCUCAUGCACGAAAGCGUGGGGAGCAAACAGG